rnacentral:tRNA from 1 species
CGAGGUGUAGCUCAGUUUGGCAGAGCGCGUGCUUUGGGAGCACGAAGCCGCAGGUUCAAGUCCUGUCACCUCGACCA